UCGAGAAUAUUCGACAAUGGACGAAAGUCUGAUCGAGCGACACCGCGUGCAGGAAGAAGGUUUUCGGAUCGUAAACUGCGGUAGUAGGGGAAGAACUUCGGUGACGGUACCCUACGGAAAGAGGUGGGUAACUACGUGCCAGCACCAGCGGUAAUACGUAGACCUCAAGCGUUAUCCGGAUUUAUUGGGCGUAAAGCGCAUGUAGGAGGUUUUGUGCGUCCCUGGUUAAAGCCCACCGCCCAACGGUGGAAGUGCCCGGGAUACGACAAGACUAGAGGGAGUUAGAGGUUCGUGGAACUCACGGUGUAGGGGUGAAAUCCGUUGAUAUCGUGGGGAACACCAAAGGCGAAGGCAGCGAACUGGGACUUUCCUGACUCUGAGAUGCGAAAGCGUGGGGAGC
rnacentral:rRNA from 1 species